AGUGAACGCUGGCGGCAGGCCUAACACAUGCAAGUCGAACGGCAGAGCAGUAAGUGCUUGUGCUUACGGGGGGGGAGGGGUGAACGGGGGGUAAAAACAUCGGAAUCUGCUUUUUCGUGCGGGAUAAAGUAGGGAAACUUACGCUAAUACCGCAUACGACGUACGUGUGGAAUCAUGGGACCUUCGGAUCUUGCGUGAUCGUGUGAGCCGAUGUCGGAUUAGCUAGUUGGCGGGGUAAAGGCCCACCAAGGCGACGAUCCGUAGCUGGUCUGAGAGGGUGAUCAGCCACACUGGAACUGAGACACGGUCCAGACUCCUACGGGAGGCAGCAGUGGGGAAUAUUGGACAAUGGGCGCAAGCCUGAUCCAGCCAUGCCGCGUGGGUGAAGAAGGCCUUCGGGUUGUAAAGAACUUUUGUUGGGAAAGAAGAGCAGCAGGUUAAUACCCCGCUGUUUUGACGGUACCCAAAGAAUAAGCACCGGCUAACUUCGUG
rnacentral:rRNA from 1 species